GAGAAUAACCUCGUGCACUUACAAUUGUCCGAUACUAACGAAAUUUGGCAUACAUACUCUUCAAGAUAUGUAGAAUGCUAAUAUCUACUUGAAAUUGCAAUCUGUAAAAAUUAUUCAAA
rnacentral:lncRNA from 1 species